CCUACGGUAGGCAGCAGUGAGGAAUAUUGGUCAAUGGACGGAAGUCUGAACCAGCCAUGCCGCGUGCAGGAAGACAGCUCUAUGAGUUGUAAUCUGCUUUUGUACAAGGGUAAACCUGAAUACGUGUAUUCAGCUGAAAGUACUGUACGAAUAAGGAUCGGCUAACUCCGUGCCAGCAGCCGCGGUAAUACGGAGGAUCCAAGCGUUAUCCGGAUUUAUUGGGUUUAACGGGUGCGUAGGCGGAUUGAUAAGUUAGAGGUGAAAUGUCCGAGCUUAACUCGGGAACUGCCUCUAAUACUGUUGAUCUAGAGAGUAGAUGCGGUAGGCGGAAUGUAUGGUGUAGCGGUGAAAUGCUUAGAGAUCAUACAGAACACCGAUUGCGAAGGCAGCUUACCAAGCUAUAUCUGACGUUGAGGCACGAAAGCGUGGGGAGCAAACAGGAUUAGAUACCCGGGUAGUC
rnacentral:rRNA from 1 species